UCUACACGACUCUCGGCAACGGAUAUCUCGGCUCUCGCAUCGAUGAAGAACGUAGCAAAAUGCGAUACCUGGUGUGAAUUGCAGAAUCCCGCGAACCAUCGAGUUUUUGAACGCAAGUUGCGCCCGAGGCCUUCUGGCUGAGGGCACGCCUGCCUGGGCGUCACG
rnacentral:rRNA from 1 species